rnacentral:rRNA from 1 species
GAUGAACGCUGGCGGCGUGCCUAAUACAUGCAAGUCGAGCGAACAGACGAGGAGCUUGCUCCUCUGACGUUAGCGGCGGACGGGUGAGUAACACGUGGAUAACCUACCUAUAAGACUGGGAUAACUUCGGGAAACCGGAGCUAAUACCGGAUAAUAUAUUUAACCGUAUGGUUCAAUAGUGAAAGACGGUUUUGCUGUCACUUAUAGAUGGAUCCGCGCCGCAUUAGCUAGUUGGGAAGGUAACGGCUUACCAAGGCAACGAUGCGUAGCCGACCUGAGAGGGUGAUCGGCCACACUGGAACUGAGACACGGUCCAGACUCCUACGGGAGGCAGCAGUAGGGAAUCUUCCGCAAUGGGCGAAAGCCUGACGGAGCAACGCCGCGUGAGUGAUGAAGGUCUUCGGAUCGUAAAACUCUGUUAUUAGGGAAGAACAAAUGUGUAAGUAACUAUGCACGUCUUGACGGUACCUAAUCAGAAAGCCACGGCUAACUACGUG